AUAUUUAUACAUGAAUUAAUCUCAUAAUAUUAUAUUUUAGUUUUUACAAUAUGUUUAGCAAGUCUCUCAAAACCGGAGACAAACACUUUUCACUAUGAAUCAAAUAGAUUACAAGCCUCGCACUAGUUGCGUGUUCUAUGGACGAUUAUAUGUUUAUGUGUCUAACAAUGAGAGCCUAGACCCCUAUUUAUACAAAAUUGUCUAAUGUGAUUUCUUGUUGUAAAUGGAAUAACAUGUUUAUCCUAAGUUUAUAAGGUUUUAUAAAAAAAUUUGGAUAAGGAUGAAACUAACCAAAUCUUUUUAAUUCUUCAGGUCUUGUACGAAGCUCAGUAGCCGGCCAGAAUGACCCAAGAGACAUCAAGGCCUCACAUUCUCCAUCUUGACUCUUUGGUCAUUCCUUGGCUUCUCGGUUUCUCCAUCUCUCUCUCUCUCUACGAAAAGAAACCCAAAGCUCCGACGAGCUCGCCGCCUCGUUUUCUCCGACGCACCACCUGUUCCUCGACACCGUCUUUAUGGGAGACGUAUGCGUUCUCCGAUCCUUGCUUCUCUUCUCUUUUUGAACACUUCCUCUCUUCGAUUCUCUGUGAACAGACAAGAUCCCAACAUCACCGCCGCUUGUCUUCACCGGUGUUAGCUUCCACCGCCUCCACCAUUAAAAUCUCAGCUCGUCCCUUGAUGAAUUCAGCUUGACUUCUGUGAUUCUCCGGUGACAAAGUUCCUCUUGCACACCAACCUCACAACAUAACCGAACCAGACUUGUCAAAGCUCAAAGCUCAUGGUGUCGACGUCUCUUCACCACCGUUGCUUCCUUUAGCUUUGUUGUAGACGUUUCCUCGCUGCAACCAUACGACUUCAGGCAAUCUUCUGAACUCAUCUUUUACCAAGCUUUAUAAAUUCCUGUCAAACCAUCAGUUUGCUUUUCCUGAAACUGAUUCCUUCUUUUGUGGCCUUUCCGCGAGGUGAACAACUCGACAGCCUUGUCACCUGCAGCCACAUGAGACCUACUAAGGCAGAACCUUGAGGAUCUCCAAGCAUUUCUCGAACUUCUGUCCAGGUACACACUUAGUUAGGAAAACCUCCGGAUUGAUAGAUGUGUGAAUCUUAUAAACCGUAACGUCACCAGCCUCAGUUACGUCUCUCAUAAAGUGUAGUCUAGUAUCUAUAUGCUUAGUCCUUUCAUGGAAUCCUCCAUUCUUAGCUAAGUGUAUAUCACUUUGAGAAUCAGGCAACACUCUCACAUCGUCUUGCUCAAAUCCAAUUUGCUAACAAACCUUUUAGCCAUAGUGCUUCUUUAAAAGCUUCGGCUAAGGCCAUAUAUUCUGAUUCUGUCGUUGAUAGUGCGACAAUAUGUUGGAGACCUGAUCUCUAUAGCUUAUUAUGUUGCCUCCGAGUUGAAACACAUAUCCUGUAACAGAUCUUCUUCUAUCCAAAUCGGUUGCAUAGUGUGCGUCACAUAACCCUCGUACUUUGAAAUCUUCUCCUUUAGUAAACAAUAGGUCUGAAUCUAGAGCUCCUCGUAGGUAUCUCAUCACCCACUUAACAACUUCCCAGUGUUGUCUUCCUUGCUUGCUCAUGUAACGUCUGAUCAAGCCCACUGUGAAACAUAAUUUCGGUCUAGAUCCCACCAUUGCGUACAUCAAGCUUCCAACCGCUGAUGCGUGUGGUACUUUCCUUAUGAUACUCGCUUACAUGUCUUCUUCUUCUUGUGUCAAACUUUUAAGUUUAAAUUGUGGUCCGACAGGAGUAACCACUGCUCUGCUCUUUGCCAUGUUAAAAGUUUCCAGAACCUUCUAUAAAUACUUUCUUUGCGAUAGCUUUAGAGUUCAUUUCUUCAUGUCUUUAAUAAUAUCCAUCCCAAGUAUUCUUGAAGCUGCUCGAAGGUUCUUCAUCUCAAACUCUUUCUUCACGCUAUCUUUGAUUCUCUUAAUUUCUUUAG